UUAAAUAAAUUAAAUAAAUUAAAUAUGAAUAAAUAAAAAAAAAUUGUUAGGGAGCCUAGUAUAAAUAUCCCAAAUCGGAUUAGUAAAUUCAAUAGUCUCAACUUCCUCAUUCAAGUUAACAAAACUUAAUUCCAAAAUCGUUGAUACUUUCUUCUUGCCUAAAAAUGCAGCUUAUUUCAUCUGUGGUUUGCAUAGCACUUGUAGUGUUAAUUAUUGCUUUGUCUGGAAAUGGCGUACCUUCUGGUCUUACUCCAGAUCAAUUGAAGAGAAUCUUAAAUGGAAAAUGAAAAUAAAACAAAAUCAAUCUACAUUGCAUCAUUCUACUGUUAAAUAAAAAUAUUAAAAAUGAAAAAUAUUUUUAAAAAAAAUAUUAAAAAAAAAAAUAAAUAAAGAAAAAAUUUUUUCAUAUUUUUGUAUGGAAUAUGUAAAAAAAAAAUUAAAAUUAAUUAAAUUAUUUAUUACAAAACUAAAUCAAA